rnacentral:rRNA from 1 species
UACAGAGGUCUCAAGCGUUGUUCGGAUUCAUUGGGCGUAAAGCGCGUGUAGGCGGUCUCGCGAGUCGGGUGUGAAAGCCCGGGGCUCAACCCCGGACGUGCACUCGAUACUACGAGGCUGGAGUGCUGUAGAGGAUGGCGGAAUUCCCGGUGUAGAGGUGAAAUUCGUAGAUAUCGGGAGGAACACCAGUGGCGAAGGCGGCCAUCUGGACAGCGACUGACGCUGAGACGCGAAAGCGUGGGUAGCAAACAGG